UGUGUGAUUGGGAAAGCUAGAGUGCUACUGAUAGGAGGAGAAAAGUAAUGUAUCAGAAACAAUGUGAUUUGUACAUAUUAUUGUUCACAUUCUAGCUUUCUUAACAUGAACAUUCUUAUACA
rnacentral:pre_miRNA from 1 species